GACGAACGCUGGCGGCGUGCUUAACACAUGCAAGUCGAGCGGAAAGGCCCUUCGGGGUACUCGAGCGGCGAAAGGGUGAGUAACACGUGAGUAACCUGCCCCAGACUUUGGGAUAACCCUCGGAAACGGGGGCUAAUACCGGAUACGACACAGCUUCGCAUGGGGUCUGUGUGGAAAGUUUUUCGGUUUGGGAUGGGCUCGCGGCCUAUCAGCUUGUUGGUGGGGUGAUGGCCUACCAAGGCGACGACGGGUAGCCGGCCUGAGAGGGCGACCGGCCACACUGGGACUGAGACACGGCCCAGACUCCUACGGGAGGCAGCAGUGGGGAAUAUUGCACAAUGGGCGGAAGCCUGAUGCAGCGACGCCGCGUGAGGGAUGACGGCCUUCGGGUUGUAAACCUCUUUCAGCAGGGACGAAGCGUAAGUGACGGUACCUGCAGAAGAAGCGCCGGCCAACUACGU
rnacentral:rRNA from 1 species